rnacentral:rRNA from 1 species
GACGAACGCUGGCGGCGUGCCUAAUACAUGCAAGUCGAGCGAGAGCGACCGGUGCUUGCACUGGUCAAUCUAGUGGCGAACGGGUGAGUAACACGUGGGUAACCUGCCCAUCAGAGGGGGAUAACAUCCGGAAACGGAGGCUAAAACCGCAUAGGUCUUCGAACCGCAUGGUUUGAAGAGGAAAAGAGGCGCAAGCUUCUGCUGAUGGAUGGACCCGCGGUGCAUUAGCUAGUUGGUGAGGUAACGGCUCACCAAGGCCGUGAUGCAUAGCCGACCUGAGAGGGUGAUCGGCCACAUUGGGACUGAGACACGGCCCAAACUCCUACGGGAGGCAGCAGUAGGGAAUCUUCCGCAAUGGACGCAAGUCUGACGGAGCAACGCCGCGUGAGUGAAGAAGGUUUUCGGAUCGUAAAACUCUGUUGUUAGAGAAGAACAAGUGCUAGAGUAACUGUUAGCGCCUUGACGGUAUCUAACCAGAAAGCCACGGCUAACUACGUG